AUCCAGCUGACGAGUCCCAAAUAGGACGAAUCGCGCGUCCUGCAU
rfam:Schistosoma rodhaini strain Burundi genome assembly, scaffold: SROB_scaffold0000099